GGGCUGAAGUAGCUGAUGGGAAAGCAUCGGAGUUUAUACUUCGUCUAUUUGGGUUCGAGUCCCAAACCAGCUCA
rnacentral:tRNA from 1 species